rnacentral:piRNA from 1 species
CAGUGUGGUGCUUAGCAAAUGGU